AAAUGCAUGUAUCAUUAUAUUUGUAAAAGCCAAGAAUAUUCUGGAUAUUCCUCUUUUUUCAAUUGUUUUGAAUAUCCUCAAGAUUUGAUUUCCUGAAUGUUGAAGAAAACUUAUUAGAUAAUAAUACCACAUAUUUACAACUCACUUUUUUAAUAGAGACCAUAAAUAGUUUUAAAAAGUGGUUUAAAUUGUGUAUUUACUUUUUCAAUAGGAUACAACCAUAAUUAAACCAAGAAGUUUAUGAAGAAGGGAUCACUGGAUUUUGUCACUUUGGUACAAGAAACAGAAAAGGAUAUCAUAGACCACCUUACUUAUACGGAAGCAUAGGAGCUGUUGAAGGAAAUUGCUGCCAGACAGUCAACAGUUAUCACUGACAGCCUGUCCUGGCCCAGCUGGGACCAUCCUCAAGCUAACCAUGAUGAUGUGUUUGCAAGAAUUGUCCAUUUGGUAGAACAUGAUGAAGACGAGCUUUGUUGUAGCAUGGCCUGACAAUACUGUACAAGCCAGAGACCAAAAAAGGGUUAAGUGGUGACUGAUCCUCUCAUCCUCCUUAUCCAGGAAACGUUUUGGAACAACGUGUUGGCACUGAAGAUGUGGAGGACACAGAUUGAUCUCAGUACAUCCUUUGGAUACAUGGACACCUUCAAAGGGACGACAACAAAACUGUACCUGCCUUUUUUUUGAAAGGAAGUAGUUAAUACAAUUAUUGUUAACAGCUUUUUUAGUCUUGUUGUUUAAGAAUGCUUUCAACAUUUAAGUGGAUAAACGGUUGUUUUAAAUUUGAAUCUUCAGUAAUGCAUUCUUUAUUAAAUGAUGUAAUCUUAUUUCUUUCAAUAUAGCGUAAAUAAUAAGAACAUAAUUAUCCUUUGUAUACAAAAUGAAAACCAAGUUUACUGUUCUAUUAAUCAUUAUUUAUUUAUCUUGUUCUUUUGUCAGAAAUAUUACAGGGGCAUACAUACAGUAUUCCUUAAAUAAAAGGGGCAGUUCUUAGAAAAUUAACAUGUAUUUUAGCAAUGCAUAUUCAAACUUUUUCCACAUUUAUAACCAGCAACAAUAUGUAAGUAUUAUAAUGUAACACAAAUUAAUACUAUGAAUUUACUACUGAUUUUGCCGUGCCUGUCAUCAAAUAAACAUGUUCUACUGAAAGUUUCUUAAAAGAUGUUAUGUGGAAGACUUAAUCAAUCAUUUAAUAAAUAUUUGAGCCUUGCUCUGGGAAAAGGGGGUUUAAUGCAUGUACUUAAUGUUGUCCAAGAUUAGGCUGUGCAGACUGCACAGGCUAAUCAGGGGCAACACUUUCCGCCUUAUCUGGAUUUUCUCUAAGAGACUCCCUUUCAACAAAAAAUACAAUAAAGCAGCAAUUGUCUGCCUGAUUGGUAUGAUCAGCACAGGUUAAUCUCGUACGACAAUUUACGCACUUGCAUUAAGCCCCAUUUUCACAGGGCAAGGCUCACCUAUUUAGGUUUUAGCUGUCUAUAUGCUCUUUAACUUUUGAAUCAUGAUGCAGUUUCAUAUAAUAAUGUAUUAUGAGUCGUUUUUAAUUGAUUCCACUGGGGGCUGACGAGGUCAAAGAGUAGUCCGUUUCGCUACGACGUCGGGUAUAUGUUUUACUACAAAAACAUUGUUAAAAUACACAUGAAAUCGAAAACGGAGUAAUAGAAAAUUGUGUUUAAAACAUGUAAGAUUAUGCUUUUCUUCUAACAAAACUCUGAAUUUAAGCACAAUGACAUUUCAUAGGUCUGUUUCAUUAAAUUAUAAUCCAAGAUGUGUCUGGUUUAUGCGGUUAAACAUGAAAUAUACCGCUGAUUUAUCAAACCGAAGUCAAGUUUCACUUUAAAAAAAGCAAUUUAGGUUUACAACUGUGUUUAAUGACACAAUUUUACAAUUUCCAAAUUUAUCUAUGUAUCGUUAAGCCACUGGUGUGUUUAGAAAUAUGUAGGGUGAC